rnacentral:rRNA from 1 species
AGUGAACGCUGGCGGUAUGCCUAACACAUGCAAGUCGAACGGCAGCACAGUAAGAGCUUGCGCUUACGGGUGGCGAGUGGCGGACGGGUGAGGAAUACAUCGGAAUCUACUUUUUCGUGGGGGAUAACGUAGGGAAACUUACGCUAAUACCGCAUACGACCUACGGGUGAAAGCAGGGGAUCUUCGGACCUUUCGCGAUUGAAUGAGCCGAUGUCGGAUUAGCUAGUUGGCGGGGUAAAGGCCCACCACGGCGACGAUCCGUAGCAGGUCUGAGAGGAUGAUCAGCCACACUGGAACUGAGGCACGGUCGCGACUCCUGCGGGAGGCAGCAGUGGGGAAUAUUGCGCGAUGGGCGCGAGCGUAAUCCAGCCAUACCGCGUGGGUGAAGAAGGCCUUCGGGUUGUAAAGCCCUUUUGUUGGGAGAGAAAAGCAGCAGGUUAAUACCCCGCUGUUCUGACGGUACCCAAAGAAUAAGCACCGGCUAACUUCGUG